GUGGGCUUCUGUGCUGCAGCUGCCUUCUUCAAGUCCCACGGAGAUUUUCAAUUGGAUUUAAGUCGGGUAAUUGCGAUGGUCACUCCAGAAUGUUCCAGCCCUUCGUCUGCAGCCAAGCUCUAGUAGAUUUGGAGGUAUGCUCGGGAUCGUUGUCCUGUUGGAAGGUCCAACUUGAAGACGGAAGCCUCAGGUUUCUGCAUGUUUGUGCUCAGUCUGGUGAAGAAACACCAUUGGCUCCAGUUUUACAUGGUUCUUUGUGCCUAUUUCCUGUGUUAUCUGUAAUGAUGUUAUGGCCUACAUGUUUGGCUUCUUCUUCGGCCGAACCCCUCUCAUCAAG